rnacentral:rRNA from 1 species
CUAACGGCUGAACCAGCAACUUGGAGGAAUGUAUAGCUACGGCUAAUUGUGUAUAACUACACGAUAUCGACUCUGUCGAAUAAAAUUCUGGGUAAAUUAUGAUGAUGACAUUUUUUACCUAUGUGUCUUGACCAAAUUGUGUGCCAGCAGUCGCGGUAAUACAUAGAAGACUAGUGUUAUUCAUCUUUAAUAGGUUUAAAGGGUACCUAGACGGUAGAUCAAGCCCUAGACGGGACUAAUCUGCUAGAGUUACUUAUGAGGGGGCUUUAAAGUACUAAUGGUGUAGAGAUAAAAUUUUGUAAUACCAUUUUUCGUAAAGAAAAAUUAUGGCACUGGUAAAGGCGAGAACAUCCCCCUAU